rnacentral:rRNA from 1 species
UACAGAGGUCUCAAGCGUUGUUCGGAUUCAUUGGGCGUAAAGGGUGCGUAGGUGGCGCGCUAAGUCAGGUGUGAAAUUUCGGAGCUUAACUCCGAAACUGCAUUUGAUACUGGCGUGCUUGAGGACUGGAGAGGAGACUGGAAUUUACGGUGUAGCGGUGAAAUGCGUAGAUAUCGUAAGGAAGACCAGUGGCGAAGGCGGGUC